GACGAACGCUGGCGGCGUGCUUAACACAUGCAAGUGGAGCGACGAACCGGGCUUCGGCCCGGGGCAGAGCCGCGAACGGGUGAGUAACACGUGGGUCACCUGCCUCGAUGACCGGGACAACCCGAGGAAACUCGGGCUAAUACCGGAUGUGCUCUUCGGAGGAAAGGUAGCUUCGGCUUCCGCAUUGAGAUGGGCCCGCGGCGCAUUAGCUUGUUGGUGGGGUAAUGGCUUACCAAGGCUUCGAUGCGUAGCUGGUCUGAGAGGACGAUCAGCCACACUGGGACUGAGACACGGCCCAGACUCCUACGGGAGGCAGCAGUGGGGAAUCUUGCGCAAUGCGCGAAAGCGUGACGCAGCAACGCCGCGUGGGGGAAGAAGGCCUUCGGGUUGUAAACCUCUUUCAGUUGGGACGAAACCCCCGUAAGUGAAUAGUUUACGGGAUUGACGGUACCAUCGAAGGAAGCACCGGCUAACUCCGUGCCAGCAGCCGCCGUAAAAC
rnacentral:rRNA from 1 species